GAACAUAGAAAGGAGAUGAUACUGAAUCUUUAUAUGUUAAAACAUGAUCCACAAAAAGAUUAUCCAAAGAUUCUCGAAUGUAUACCAAACUAGUCCUAAAUUUUUUUAAAUAAAUGCUCUUCUAAAUUUUUUAGUAUUUGUAUAAGUCAUUUGCAUGAUGAUGUAAUUAAGUCAUGUAUAAUAGGUAUGAUGUUAAUUAAGUUCAAAAUUUAUAAUAUUGAUUGAUCAUGUCCAA
rnacentral:lncRNA from 1 species